rnacentral:rRNA from 1 species
CUACGGGAUGCAGCAGUUAGGGAUAUUCGGCAAUGGGGGAAACCCUGACCGAGCAAUGCCGCGUGAAUGAAGAAGUAUUUCGAUAUGUAAAGUUCUGUUGUUAAGGAAGAAAGGUACGAAUAGGAAAUGAUUCGUAAUUGACGGUACUUAACCAGAAAGCCCCUGCUAACUACGUGCCAGCAGCAGCGGUAAUACGUAGGGGGCGAGCGGUAUCCGGAAUUAUUGGGCGUAAAGGGUGCGUAGGCGGCCUGUCAAGUCCGAGUUGAAAGCCCACGGCUUAACCGUGGAGGGUGCUCGGAAACUGAUAGGCUUGAAUCCAGAAGAGGCAAGUGGAAUUCUAUGUGGAGCGGUGGUAUGCGUAGAUAUAUGGAGGAACACCAGUGGCGAAGGCGGCUUGCUGGGCUGGUAUUGACGCUGAUGCACGAAAGCGUGGGGAGCAAACAGGAUUAGAUACCCUGGUAGUC